GACGAACGCUGGCGGCGUGCUUAACACAUGCAAGUCGAACGGAAAGGCCCUGCUUUUGUGGGGUGCUCGAGUGGCGAACGGGGGAGUAACACGUGAGUAACCUGCCCUUGACUUUGGGAUAACUUCAGGAAACUGGGGCUAAUACCGGAUAGGAGCUCCUGCUGCAUGGUGGGGGUUGGAAAGUUUCGGCGGUUGGGGAUGGACUCGCGGCUUAUCAGCUUGUUGGUGGGGUAGUGGCUUACCAAGGCUUUGACGGGUAGCCGGCCUGAGAGGGUGACCGGCCACAUUGGGACUGAGAUACGGCCCAGACUCCUACGGGAGGCAGCAGUCGGGAAUAUUGCACAAUGGGCGGAAGCCUGAUGCAGCAACGCCGCGUGCGGGAUGACGGCCUUCGGGUUGUAAACCGCUUUCGCCUGUGACGAAGCGUGAGUGACGGUAAUGGGUAAAGAAGCACCGGCUAACUACGUG
rnacentral:rRNA from 1 species